UGGAAAUUAAACAGCUGUUCAGGAAAGCCAGCUGGAACUUAGCGUUGGAAAAUGUUCAGUGAUGGUCCUUAUUGUGGAUGAGUUGGUCUCAUCAACCUAUCCUGACGUAAAUGCGUUACGAUCUUCCCCAAAGACCUGAUGCUUAUUUAACUUCAGAACUUAGCCACGUGAAAGGCAGCCGUCUGUCCAUCCAGUAAUGCCUAGUUUUAGUGCUUAUUGCAAUGUAAGCUUGUUGACUGUGUUUAACGGGAUAGUCAGAUGUUUCAGUUGAAGUCCAGAUUCUGCACCAUGUAUCGCUGGUGCAGACAGCCACCUCUUACCAGAAUCCUCUUGCCUGGCUAAGCGGGGGCACGCACAGCUCUUUCUCAGUUUGCUCCUCUGCUUGGCAGAUAGCAGAUUUCUUUUGACAUUGCUUGCACGAGGCACCUCAACAUCAGAGUGUUAACAUGGGAGGAGAGGCACUGUGAGAGGGGAAUGCAGAAUGGAUCCUGGUGUUGACAUCCUGCUUGGAGGAAGAUUUCUGUCAUCGAUCUGCUGAAAGCAAAGCCAAAGAUUGACUGCCCCUUUAUGUAGCACCUAGAGCAGUCUCCCCUGCCCCCACCACUGUCCAGUGACUGUUUUAGCUUGUAUUAGUUGAAUAACUAUGAACUUCUUAUAUGGAAGAGUGUAAUUGCGGUCCAGUGUGCAUGUCACUUUUACCUCACUAUUUUUUAAGUGUGUGCUUCAGUUCACAUUGUUGUUGAGCCAUCAUCACAGCCAACUAACAACUAGGAUAAUUUUCGUCUUGCAAAUUUGAAACUCUAUCCUCCCAUCCCCCCUUCCGCAGACAGCCUCUAGUAACUACCAUCUGAUGGCCUGCCUCUGCGGUAUGAUUAGUGAAUUAUUUCCUGUCUAGUGCUGAUUAGCCUAGAACAAGGACAUGUCCUGCAUUAGUAUCUAGCUAUCCAGUUAAGCAUUAAAACUUGUGAUUUCUUCUCUUCUCAGUAGUACACUGCUUUGUAAAAUUAUUACAUUUUAAAGUCUUAUUUGGCAAUAUUCAUAUGUAAAUGUAGGAAUACAAUUAUUCACAAUUACUAUUUUUCAGCCCUAGGGAUUGAACUCAAGGCCUUGCAUGUAUAAAUGGACUACCACUGUACUAAAGUGAAAUAUUACUUGUGGGUUUUUUUUGUGUGUGUGUGUUUGUUUGUUUUGAGACAAGGUCUCUCUAUGUUAAACUAGACCCCAAGUGGUUGGUCCUCUUGCCUCGGUUUUCCCAGAAGCUGCCAUAGAGGUGUGAGUCACCAUAUCUAGCUUCAAAAUAACAUUUCGAAUAAAAGAUUUGGUCAAUAUAAAUUUAUAUAAAAUAAAUAAAAAACAAAACACAAAUAUUAUACAUGCAGUUAUAUUUAAUAGAAUGUGCUUUGUAAAUAGGUCGAAUUAAGCUCAGCCUCAUUUGAAGAAACCUCAAUUG
rnacentral:lncRNA from 1 species